UUCGUCCUGUCUCUCUCCUCUGUCCUCCUGCUGCAGCCGGUGACUGACGGAGAGAGAGGCAGGGGGCUGGACCACAGGAGAGCAGCCUGGAAGCAGUAAACCCUGCACGGCGACACCUGCAGACAUUAACUCCUCGUGCUGACUUUAGUUUUUUUUCCCCUCAGUACAGAAAGAAAGAAAGAAAGAAGAAGAAGAAGAAGAAAAAAACCGCGGAUGAAACCGAAGCAACUGGUGCGGAAUGAGGGCGUGAGAGUUGCGGGAAUGUACGGAGAGCCGAAACGAGACUGAAUUAACAGAAAGUUCUGCGACAGACGACAGCGGAGACGACAGCAGGUAUUUGGUGGAUGGGUGGAAAAUGGAGGUGAACAGACAAGAGGUUCCUUUAUAUAACUAGCCUUCCAAGCACUGGUUGACUGCUGAGACUUGUGUCGCUGAUGAAACCCAAGCCAGGAACAUUUUAGUCCCAAGGGAAGCCAGACCUUUAACAAGCUGUUCACCGAAUGAACAUAACCUCUAAAAGCAUGACUUCUCCUAAACACGAAGGCCACGGUGCAGGAAUAAACUCGUCAGAGUGG